rnacentral:rRNA from 1 species
GUGGAUUAGAUACCCUGGUAGUCCUGGCCCUAAACGAUGUCGACUAGAUCGUAGUGCCUCUGACGGUAUUACGGUCGAAGCAAAAGUGCUAAGUCGACCGCCUGGGAAGUACGGUCGCAAGGCUAAAACUCAAAGGAAUUGACGGGGGCUCACACAAGCGGUGGAGCAUGUGGUUCAAUUCGAAGCAACGCGCAGAACCUUACCUGGGCUUGACAUGCUAGGAUUAUCCCUAUGAAAGUAGGGUAGGCCCUUCGGGGUACAACUAGUACAGGUGCUGCACGGUCGUCGACAGCU